rnacentral:rRNA from 1 species
GACGAACGCUGGCGGCGUGCCUAAUACAUGCAAGUCGAGCGGACGAAUCGAAAGCUUGCUUUUGAUUCGUUAGCGGCGGACGGGUGAGUAACACGUGGGCAACCUGCCCUGUAGACGGGGAUAAAACCGAGAAAUCGGUGCUAAUACCGGAUAACACGAAAUGUCGCAUGACGUUUCGUUGAAAGACGGCGCAAGCUGUCGCUACCGGAUGGGCCCGCGGCGCAUUAGCUAGUUGGUGAGGUAACGGCUCACCAAGGCGACGAUGCGUAGCCGACCUGGGAGGGUGAUCGGCCACACUGGGACUGAGACACGGCCCAGACUCCUACGGGAGGCAGCAGUAGGGAAUCUUCCGCAAUGGACGAAAGUCUGACGGAGCAACGCCGCGUGAGCGAUGAAGGCCUUCGGGUCGUAAAGCUCUGUUGUUAGGGAAGAACAAGUAACGCAGUAACUGGCGUGACCGUGACGGUACCUAACGAGAAAGCCACGGCUAACUACGUG